rnacentral:tRNA from 1 species
GUGACGUGUGCCGAACGGCUUAGGCGCUGCCCUGUGGAGGCAGUUUUAGCGGGUCCGACUCCCGUACGUCACCCCA